AUUACUGAAAAUCUACUUCAUACACACAUGGAUUUUAACGACAGAAGCAGCACUCAGACGUUGCGCCUUCACUUCUAAUUUACUUAAAGACUUUCCUAUCGAACAGGACAGGAUACUGCAAACUGUGACACCUGUCGAAACAGUGCGUGCAUCAUUUAUAGUGUUGAACUCGACUUCAAG